AAGUCGUAACAAGGUUUCCGUAGGUGAACCUGCGGAAGGAUCAUUACAACGUAUCCACGUACCAAACUCUCGAACUGUUCCCAACGAAGUCAAACACUUGUGGAUGAAGUUAGACUGCUUGCUUUCCGCUGAUGGAGUUCGCUGGCAUUCGCUGGUGAACUGGAAGGCAUUCGGUCGUCAGAGCUGGACUCUGAGGCUUCGUUUACUUCGUUGCGGUUUACCCGUCAGCUUGAUUUUACCCUUAUUAACCCUUUGAACUUAUGAACUGAACUUGAUGGCCUUGCGUCGUCCUUGCUGGCUUCGGUCACGGACAGCACGCCUGGUUUAUCACAUUUUACGAAACAAAGAACAACUCUUAGCAACGGAUAUCUUGGUUCUC
rnacentral:misc_RNA from 1 species